GGUUAUUGACUUGAAAGAAAAAACAUUUACUUACUACGACUCUUUAAAGGGAGAUAAUCAGAAUUGCAUCCAGGCUUUACGUGACUAUAUUUGCGCGGAAAGUUUGGAUAAAAAGAAAACAAUAUUUGAUCUAACUGGAUGGAGAAACGACAGUCCUAAGGAUAUACCUGAGCAACUAAAUGGCUGUGACUGUGGGGUUUUUGCUUGUCAGUACGCUGAAU